rnacentral:rRNA from 1 species
UUGAACGCUGGCGGUAUGCUUAACACAUGCAAGUCGAACGCGAAAAUACCUUCGGGUAUGAGUAGAGUGGCGGACGGGUGAGUAAUGCAUAGGAAUCUGCCCAGUAGUGGGGGACAACUCGAGGAAACUCGAGCUAAUACCGCAUACGACCUACGGGUGAAAGUGGGGGAUCUUCGGACCUCACGCUAUUGGAUGAGCCUAUGUCAGAUUAGCUAGUUGGUAGGGUAAUGGCCUACCAAGGCGACGAUCUGUAGCUGGUUUGAGAGGAUGAUCAGCCACACUGGGACUGAGACACGGCCCAGACUCCUACGGGAGGCAGCAGUGGGGAAUAUUGGACAAUGGGCGCAAGCCUGAUCCAGCAAUACCGCGUGUGUGAAGAAGGCCUGCGGGUUGUAAAGCACUUUCAAUCGUGAAGAUUGGUUGCAUGGUUAAUACCCAUGUAACUUGACGUUAACGAUACAAGAAGCACCGGCUAACUCCGUG